GCAUCGAUGAAGAACGCAGCGAAAUGCGAUAAGUAAUGUGAAUUGCAGAAUUCAGUGAAUCAUCGAAUCUUUGAACGCACCUUGCGCCCCUUGGUAUUCCGAGGGGCAUGCCCGUUUGAGUGUCAUGUUCAUCUCAACCCUCAAGUCUUUGUUGACUUUGGGGCGUUGGACUUGAAGGUUGCUGGCUCCCCUCUUGUAGUCGGCUCCUUCUAAAUGCAUUAGCUGGGCUUUGACUCGCGUUUGUUACGGUGUAAUAGUAACUUGUUCACCGGGACGCUUGUCUAGUAGGUCCGCUUCUAAUCGUCUUCGGACAAGACGUUUGCGCGUCUUCACUUGACCUUUUGACCUCAAAUCGGGUAGGACUACCCGUUGGCCUUAAGCAUAUCAAUAAGCGGAGGA
rnacentral:rRNA from 1 species